rnacentral:rRNA from 1 species
GACGAACGCUGGCGGCGUGCUUAACACAUGCAAGUCGAACGAAGUGGCGAACGGGUGAGUAACGCGUAAUCAACCUGCCCUUCAGAGGGGGACAACAGUUGGAAACGACUGCUAAUACCGCAUACUGAAGGUGGGGUUUGUGUCGGAUUAGCGAGUUGGAGGGGUAACGGCCUACCAAGGCGAUGAACAGUAGCCGGACUGAGAGGAUGAACGGCCACAUUGGGACUGGGACACGGCCGAGACUCCUACGGGAGGCAGCGGUGGGGACGCUUCCGCCAUGGACGAAAGUCUGACGGCGCAACGCCGCGUGAGUGAUGACGGCCUUCGGGUUGUAAAGCUCUGUUAAUCGGGACGCGGUACCGGAAUAGAAAGCCACGGCUAACUACGUGCCAGCAGCCGCGGUAAUUC